rnacentral:rRNA from 1 species
GACGAACGCUGGCGGCGUGCUUAACACAUGCAAGUCGAACGGAAAGGCCCUGCUUUUGUGGGGUGCUCGAGUGGCGAACGGGUGAGUAACACGUGAGUAACCUGCCCUUGACUGUGGGAUAACUUCAGGAAACUGGGGCUCAUACCGGAUAGGAGCUCCUGCUGCAUGGUGGGGGUUGGAAAGUUUCGGCGGUUGUGGAUGGACUCGCUGCUUAUGCGCUUGUUGGUGGGGUAGUGGCUUACGAAGGCUUUGACGGGUAGCCGGCCUGAGAGGGUGACCGGCGACAUUGGUCCUGCGAUACGGCCCAGACUCCUACGGGAGGCAACAGUGGGGAAUAUUGCGCAAUGAGCGGACGCCUGAUGCAGCAGCCCCGCGUGCGGAAUGACGGCCUUCGGGUUGUAAACCGCUUUCGCCUGUGCCGAAGCGUGAGUGACGGUAAUGGGUAAAGAAGCACCGGCUAACUACGUG